GCUCUAAUAGCGUAUAUUAAUGUUGUUGCAGUUAAAAAGCUCGUAGUUGGAUUUUGGAGUUUGACAGACGGUCUGCCUACGGGUGUGUACUAUCUGUUGGCUCUUCUUUUCUGGGAACCUCACUGCUCUUCACUGAGGGGUGUUGGAACGCAGAUCGUUUACUUUGAAAAAAUUAGAGUGUUCAAGCAGGCCAUCGCAUU
rnacentral:rRNA from 1 species